UGGCCUCCACAACAUCAGGCAGCCAGGGAGAUGCAAACAUGUCUGCUAUGGAUGCUGACAAUGAGACCCCCCUCUUCCCUGCCAGGGUCUCUUAGAGCACACUCGAGAAAGGCCAUCUGUCACCCACGAGGCUGUUGACCGAAAGAGGUUGAAGAGAGAUGUGGAGCCCAGCUGCAGAGGGACCAGCCUUGUGCCUGACUAGGGCUUGGCCCAGAACCCCCAAGUUCAUCAUUCACAAUGAUGCCUCAGAAAGCCUCCCAGAGCCCCUCCACCCUCCAACAGAUGUCACCUUAAAGCCAGACACAGAAGCUGUGCAGAGCAAGCACAGCAACACCGGCCCCACGUCUCUCAGAAAGGUCAUCCUGUCAGCACUGGGGGCCCAAGAACUCCUCAACUCGCUGCACUCCUACUGCUUCUGCUCCCGGGGGAACAGGAGCACGUGUGCCACCUGUGGGAGCAGGUGGAGAAGAAUGGCGAGCUGAAGAGGGGCAGCUGCCGACAGCCAGGUGCACACGCUGCAGGAGGAGCUGGACGAGCUGAAGGGAGGGGGCUCCCUGCCUUAGCAGCCUGCUGCCCCCCGCCGAGCGCCAGUUGCAGAGCUCCAGCCAGCAGCAGAAGCAGAGCAGUGGGCAGUGGUGGAGGUAGAGCUGGCUCCAGCUUCCUUGACACCACCCUCUCUAGCACUGGAGCCAGUGUCCCCUCCACCAGCAGUGUUGGAGCUGGAGCAAGGGCCGACAUCGGCUGCAGCAGGAGUGGGAGCUGCUGAGCUGGAGUCACCUGGACCAUCAUUUCUAGUGGGAAGUCCAUCUCCACCUGUGGCUAAGAAGCAUGAGAAGAAGCCCAACCUACGGCCUUCCCUCCUAAGCUGGUGGUGGAGCAGUUGACCGUGAUGGAUGCGGAGUGUGAGAUCCUGAAGAACUUCUCCUCGCCCCGCACUGUCAUCUCUUCUCUGCAGAAAACAUCCAUAUGCCACCUGAAGAACACAUGGAGGAAGUUUCCUGGGAGAGCUCUGAAAAAUUUAAAGAGAGCUAUAGCCAAGACGAGUCCUUGAACAGAGAACUGAUGACCAAGGUUAACAAGCAGAGGGAUCUGUUCUGCCCAUGGGCAGGUGGGGUGCCAUUUUUGGGCAGGAGGCCUUGGUCAUGGGACACAGUGGUGUUGGCUGGGCUGUUCCAGGACGAGUUGCCGAGCUGGCGCCAUCAGCAGGUCUCUGGCUUCCACUCACGUCCAUCCUGCUGGAUGUAGCUUCUUCCAGGCUGUUGGGUGGUUGGGUGGGUUUAUCCCUCAGCCUAAACCUGUCCUCAGGAAGCCAGGCCCCUGCUGCUCCUUCUAUCUUCACCAUGUCUCCAAGGGGAGGGCACACUGCCUACCCCAGGGACGGGCACAACAGGGGAUUCCCCUGGCACAGGUGGACAAACAGGCUGCUCAUCCUUGGAUCUGAACAACUGACCAGAGACAGAUGUGUGUGCAUUGUGGGACUCCCCACUGGACCCCUAGAGCAGUCACUUGAGUCAACCACAGGAGUCUCACCUGAGUGCCUGGUUGGCAAUGAUAUAGGCCCCAGGUGGCUUAUGAGUAGCGUCUAGGCAACUGAUGGAUUCUUAGUGGAUCCUGCUGAAAGGACGUUAAGAGCUUCAUGUAAACGGGGAAGCAAGGCAUCCUGUCACCCCCUUCCCUGUUGAUCAGAGGUGGCACCUUGUGGGUCCAGUUCCUGAGUGGAUAAAGAAAGAGUUCAGUGCAGGCGAAUAUCCUGAGUUGUUCUUUGGGGAGGAGAAGGGUUUGGCAUUGCCUCUGUCCGGCAUGGGGGAGAGACACUCCAGGGGACUGGGGCAGGCAGGAGCCACUCAACAACCAGACUCCCAAGACACCCCAUCCUCUCGAUCCACGGCUCGGCCCAGGGCCAAGCUUUGAGAGCUCAGGGGACAAGACUGUUGUCAGUGGUGGGGCUGGGGGUUAGGCAAGGAUGUUGGAACAGGGCCUCUGGCUGAGAGGGGCAAGCGGCCUCUCCUCUGUUGGCCCCUCAGCAACUCACUGCCCCUGUUUGGUCCUCUGUCUCCCCAUCAGGGAAAUGGAGGUAUGGUGAUUGUGUGGUGAUUGUGUGGUGCAGGCCUCACAGGGUGGUAAUGAGGAGGGGCCCUCCACGUUUGCCCCCCGGAGGGCAACCCCCAGAGAGUGCAGGAGAAGCAGCAGCAGCAGCAGGGUGUUGUCCCCUAUCUUGGCACUUUCCUCGGUGAACUGCUGAUGCUGCACCUGGCGAUGGGUGAUUAUCUCGAAGUGGAUAAAUCUGAGGACCAAGCAGGAAGGACCAGGAUCCUGAGCCUGGGGAUGCGUGAGCCCCCGCACUGAGCUCUGAGCUCUCAGCACUUGGCACAUCUCCUCUCGUGAGAGCCUCACAGCCGCCCCUGGGAGCUGGGGCAUCAGGCCCAUCUUAGGGAUGAGUGAACAGAGGCUCCGCCUGAGACAUUCAUUCUCGUUCCUCAGGCUGGGGAAGCUCAGAGCUGCCUGAUGGCACAGCUGCGUGAGGUUUUAUCUGAGCUGGACUCUGCCUGUCCCUCCCAUGCUGCCCGUGGAGGGAGAGAGCAGUCGCCCCCCCCCAAGUCAGGCAGCACAUAAGUGGCUGAGCAGUCCCCUCUGCCUGAGGCCUCAGCCUCCAAGUCUGUCAUCAGAGAGGGUUGUGCUGCCAGGUCCCUCAGCCUCCCCCCAUGUCCUACUACUCUGGAGCCCAGAGCCCAUCCUAGGUCCAAGUCCUGUUUUCUCUGCAUGCCCCGCCCCCUCUGGGGACCUGGCAGUAGUGCCACAUGAGAAGGGCAGGGCAUAGGGGGCUAGUCAGGCUAGGGGGCUCUGUCUGAUGGACUCUGGCUGUCUGCCUUCCAGGGGAAUGAGAUCAACCUUGAGAAGAGGACUGAGGAGCAGCUGUGGCACUCCUUGCAGGGGAGGGGAAGGAGGUGGAAAUCAGAGACCCUCUGGGGAGAACAGUUUCUGGCUCCACCCCUUGUAUCUUACAUUGAGUGGAAGAUUUUGGUAGAAGUCGAGACCCAUCCAGUUGGCGCGUGGGUUGAAGGGAGGAUGGCAUCAAGGAAAACUUCUUGGAGGAGGGGCUGAUUAUUCCCAUUCUGAGAACAGAACACCGAGUCAUGAGGGAGAUCCUGCUGCUCCAGGUCGCUGCAAAGAAUUAUAAAAAGACCCCAAGGAGUGAUUUGGGGCCUGGUUCCAGGACAUGGAGCUGCUCAACGAGAAUGAGUCAAACACCAAGGGUAGAGGUCAUCAAAAGAUCAAGUCUAAUCUACCUACGGGUGUGGCAGCCUUAACUAUGGAUGUUCAAGCCAGACAUUGCCAGAAGAACUACAUCUCUUCACCCAUAGAAGAUGCAACCUACAGCUGAAGAGAAACAGAUACAACACCAAUAUCUUAUCCUCUCUGAAGCCAAACUGAGAGCCCCUGGAGUCAGAAGUUUCCAAGAAAAGAAAAAGUCAUCCAUCUUCGGAAGAGAGACAGUAGAGCACGGACUGUAGGAGAAAGCCCAGAGGAGCAAUGAAGACAAAGAAGACAUGACACCUGCAAAAAGUCAGUGGAGUAUUUCUACGUAACAAACCUUCCAGGUGAGUGACGGUCAGUAUCUUCCACUGAUCCAGCUCUCACAAUAAACCUAGAACAUGCCCAAGGUAAGCUGGAGGACUACGCCCCACUAGUCCAUUCCCUGCCCAGGGCCUGUUUGUGCAGGGUGACUGCCAUCAAGCAGACAAUGGACUCAGGAUGGAGCAUGUGCCUUUGGGGAGGCUGGUAGAGAGGGACAAAGUGGAACACCAGCUAAGUGCACACACCUGAGAGGUGGAGUUCCAGGAGGAGACUCAAAAUGUACCAAGAAACUGCGUGAAGGGAGCUACUCGACCUCUCUGAGCCUCAGUGUCCCCCCCUGUAAAAUGGGGAUGACAGGCCUACUUCACAGACCUGUUGGGGAAGAUACAUAAAAGUGCCUGUGACAGCCAGUGUCCAUAUUAUUAACAAAGCCGUCUCCGACUUCAGAAUAAUCAAUGAAAAGAAUAAUGUUGAUGAGACCAAAGACGAGAUGCUCAGCUUCAUAACAGCCCCAGCAGCAUGAGAGUGAGAGGAGCUCCGAGUAAGCAAGGUUCUUCACAGCUCCACUAGAGAGGAUGAACAUGGGCUACACCAGGAUAAGUGGCUGUUGUACAGUGACUCGUGUAGUGAGGGUGGGUCCCUAAAGACACUGAAAUC